AUUUGUAACUCAUUUAUCUGCCACAUUGCUGCGGGAUCUGUGAGCGGAUAUUGCCUUUCCUUGCACCUCACAGCAGGAGGUGGUGGGGUCCUGCUCUUGGCAGCACAUGGUUGCUCCUGCUUGGUAUUCAUGGGCACAUUCCUCUGGCUGAUGAUAUAUUAUUAUUGGGCUGGAAGAAAAAUAAUGCAACCAAGCUCUUAUUAUUUUCUCCUUUUAUCUGUUUAGUCAUAUUAGUGUGGGAUCAUCGUUACAUAAAUGAGCAGGAGAUGCAGUCAAGGACAUGUUCAUUUUUAAAGUCCUCCAAUGCUCUUGUACUUCAGUCAUUCAUCUUCUGUCUUUAAUUACAGCAAGUGAUCUCAGAGGCACUUAAAAGAUUAAAUUACUCAAUUAUUUGAAAAACCCAAAUGCAAUAACUGUAUAUUUUUGCUGAUAAAUACCAGCCAUUGCUGGAAAGGGUUGCCCAAGGCAAAAUAUAUUGGGAGGCCAAGGAGGCCAUAUUGUAACAUUUUGUCUUUACCCAGUGAUACCCUUUUAAUUUUCAUCAUUUGCAACCUUUAUUUUUAUUUGUAUUGAUAAUAACCACAAACUUUUCCAUUGCUGUCCUGGUGGUUUCAGCAGUGCGAUGAAUGUCACUGCCCAACACUUUACAAGUGUCCUGGCAGCUCCUUGGCUGUGGAGAGAAGGACAUGAGGACAAACAUAGGUUAAAAAGGCAGGGCAUCAGCAUGGCCGGGCAGUGAACCCCAUCCAAGGUGAUGCUUGUGCAUGGGGGAUGGUUCAGUGUUUGGGAAAGGGAUGUAAUUAAAACACAUCCCCAAGGUGGUGGCUCUCUCCAUGAUGAGGUGGAUGGGUUCCCUGUUGGAAAAGGUGAGCAUCCAGUGGGUGCUCACUGUGGUGGGCAGGCUGGCUUGGGCUCCCCAGCCUUGUAGGAAACAGGACAGAGGGACAAAAACUGGCUCUGAGAUGGUGUUCUGGGUGUCCCAUGGCCACAGAGGGAGCUGUUGAUGUGUCCUGCAUGUCAGCAUUGCUGCCAGUACUGCAUCAAUGCAUCUGCAGCAGCUCAGUUUGUCCUUCCUGACCAGCAGCCCCAUUGCUCACUGGGGAUCCCCAAGAACAGCCACUCAACAAUGGGAAGUUUUUCGUAAACAAUUUUUUUUUGCCUCUUUUGCAAAGCAACAGAUGGGGUUGAACCCAGUUCUGGGAGCCUAGCUAAGGCCCUUGUGUAGUCCCUCCUCCCUGGGCCAGGAGAAAAGGAACAUGAUUCUUCAGGAAAAGAAAAAUCCAAGGUAAAGUGUUAAAAUCCUGUACUUUCUCUUCAUAGGUCCAGUUCUGAGUUCCUGUCCUGCUGGGCACCAGAAAACACUGGGCAAAACACCAGAGCAGCCAUGAACCCAGAGUGCUCUACACUUUGGCCAUGGUGGGCUCCUUUCUCAUGCUGGUUGGCCAGCAGUGAGGCACAGGCGUGAGGUUUUGGUGUUGAUGAAAACUUCCUGCUUUGGACUACCUCUAAAAUGCAAGAGUCUGGAGGCAAAAGAAGGACUCACUGUGUGUUGUCAAACCAGACCAGCUGUGGUGUCUCAUGUCCUACUGCCACGAAGAGCAAGCCUGGCUGGUAUUAGCAGGGAGCAGUGGGGUGGCCACGUGGGCUGGCAGGCCCUGGGUGGGUCUGGGGGUCAGGCUGCCCUCAGCCAGCAUCUGUCCCACACACUUGGUGAGGCACUGCUGGCCCACAGAUGCUGCUGCUGAGGGGUUACUGUCCUCUGCUCCACCACCUGUGGUUACCACAUUUAUUUAAUUAAAAAAAAAAAAAAAGAAGAAAAGUGAGUAAUUCAAUACACAUCCUCUCAAGGAACAGCAGUCAUUCCAGCAAGGAGCAGGCCAGUGGUCUGGGGAAGGACAGAUGGCCCUGCAGCUAAUUUGCUCCCAUAAAUCGCAAGCUGUUGCAAAUCCUCCCUGCAGUAAAUGCUGGCUCUGUGUUUGUGGCCAUGUGUCUGUCUUGGAGCUGCUAUGAGCAGGAGAUAGAGCAGAAUCUGUAGUUUUAGGCUGUCUUUCCCUUGUGUCUUUUGCAGAAUUUAGCGUUUUGGUUAAGAAAUAAGCUGUAAUCCUGUAGCUGGCUGCCAGCAGAGCUCCAUGCAACUGCUCUUGCAGCAGAACCAGGUAUUCUCUUGCUGAAGCUCCAGCACAGCCACGAGCUCGUCCUGUCUCCUUGCAAACUGCUGCUAAGGACCUGCACACUGCAGUUCAAGGCUCUGCUCAAGGCAGAGAGCAGUUCACUGCCUUUAGCCUCUCUGUCUUGCAGAAUUCUCAUCCCUGGGAGAGGAUCAAAAGCCCCAGCUUGUCACUGAAAUGGGACAGAGGUUUAUGGUUAUUUUAGUGCUCUGGCCUUCCUGAAGAGAAGCGGAAAGACUUCUCACCUUGGUGUUUUGCCCUUAGUGGGGGACAGAGGACAUUGUGUACUCAAGCCCUGGCAGGCUGGCCAUUACUGACUCCCCGUUGCACCUGGAGCUGGGACCACCUGGCCAUGGUUACCCUGCUUUAAAGGCUGUGUCCUCCUGUGCAUCCUGGGCUGGGUUAGGAGGCAGGCAUGGAAGGACUGAGUGGGACAGAGGGCAUGCUGGGCUCAGGCAGUGGAAAAUAACUACCUGUGGGAGUGCUGUGUUUUGGAUUCAGUAUGGGAAUAAGUUGGUAAUACAGUGAUGUUUUGGUUAUUGUUAAGUUGCAGGAUAGAGAGAGGUACUUAGUUGACAGCUGGGGUUAUACCACAACAUGGAUCCAAAGGAACAUUUAAUCCAUCUGCAGAAUGUGUAUGAAAAACAACAGAAAUCCCUAUCAUGCCACUGCACCUUUUCCUCUUUUGCAAUGGUUUGAUGGAUUUGAGAUGGUUGAUGUCUGGCAAUGUGAACCCAGCUCCAGUCUCUUCUGUGAACCUAGACCUAAAUUAUUGACAAUAACACAGAUGCAGAAACUUGGCUGAAUAUGGAAAACAUAAUCUUUGCCAUGAAGCUUGUGUAUACAUAAGGAUACUACAGGCUAAGUGUAAUGGACAACAAUAUCAUUUUGAGCCUGCAGUCAUUACUGAAGUCCCACACCAGAAUAAUUCAGUGUAUAGCAGGUUGCAAUAAAGAAAUCAAGGGCUUAAAUUCAGCAUUUCCUGAGUCAAUGGAUGAAA